rnacentral:rRNA from 1 species
UACGUCACUGAUCUUGUACACACCGCCCGUCAAGCCAUGAAAGUGACCAACACCCGAAGUCCGCUUAUGCGGCCUAAGGUGGGGGGCAUGAUUGGGGUU